UUGUUAUCGCAGGCUCAAUUAAAUUGAACACGUUUUGUAUUUUCGAAAAUCACAAGGAAUAGGGGUGAAAAUGUCGGGUCGGGAAGGAGGAAAGAAAAAACCACUCAAACAGCCCAAGAAAGAAAAGAAGGAACUGGAUGAGGAUGAGGUGGCACAUCAGCAGAAGAUGAAGGCUGAUAAAAAGGCACUGGAACAAGCAAAGGCUAAAGCAGCUCAGAAAGGACCAAUGGGUGGAAGUGGUAUAAAAAAAUCUGGAAAGAAAUGACAUUGGAUUAUUUAUCCUGCACAAAGUCCAAAACAAGGAUCUCCCAGUUUUGCAAAGGCCUUGUACAGAACUUGUAUAUCCUGUAAUAGUUUAGGCAAUGGCAAUCAUUUAGUUAGUAACCAAGUUAUAGAUAAACACGAUUUUCAUUUCUAAAAUGUUUUUUCUUUAAUCCCCUAUGAUAAAUACAAUUAUUAUUAUCAUA